GAUGAACGCUGGCGGCGUGCCUAAUACAUGCAAGUCGAGCGAACAGACGAGGAGCUUGCUCCUCUGACGUUAGCGGCGGACGGGUGAGUAACACGUGGAUAACCUACCUAUAGGACUGGGAUAACUUCGGGAAACCGGAGCUAAUACCGGAUAAUAUAUUGAACCGCAUGGUUCAAUAGUGAAGGGCGGUUUUGCUGUCACUUAUAGAUGGAUCCGCGCCGCAUUAGCUAGUUGGUAAGGUAACGGCUUACCAAGGCGACGAUGCGUAGCCGACCUGAGAGGGUGAUCGGCCACACUGGAACUGAGACACGGUCCAGACUCCUACGGGAGGCAGCAGUAGGGAAUCUUCCGCAAUGGGCGAAAGCCUGACGGAGCAACGCCGCGUGAGUGAUGAAGGUCUUCGGAUCGUAAAACUCUGUUAUUAGGGAAGAACAAAUGUGUAAGUAACUAUGCACGUCUUGACGGUACCUAAUCAGAAAGCCACGGCUAACUACGUG
rnacentral:rRNA from 1 species